UUGCUGAAACGAUUGAACUAU
rnacentral:miRNA from 1 species